GUGCCAGCCGCCGCGGUAAUACGUAGGGUGCAAGCGUUAAUCGGAAUUACUGGGCGUAAAGCGUGCGCAGGCGGUUGGGCAAGACAGAUGUGAAAGCCCCGGGCUUAACCUGGGAAUGGCAUUUGUGACUGCCCGGCUAGAGUGUGUCAGAGGGGGGUAGAAUUCCACGUGUAGCAGUGAAAUGCGUAGAGAUGUGGAGGAACACCGAUGGCGAAGGCAGCCCCCUGGGAUAACACUGACGCUCAUGCACGAAAGCGUGGGGAGCAAACAGGAUUAGAUACCCUAGUAGUCC
rnacentral:rRNA from 1 species